UUUAAAUGUAGUUAUAGGUUUUCAUAUUUAACGUUUAACCAACUGUAUUAUUUAAUUUUUUUUAUGAUAAGUAUUUUUGUUGUUAUUAGAUGAUAAAACUUGACUCGUACUUGAUGCGUGAUUUAUUUUUUAAUUUUUUAAAAAUAAAACAGAUGGUCAAACAUUAAACACGAAUCCUCGCAACUACGAUUAAA
rfam:Oryza sativa (indica cultivar-group) chromosome 3, whole genome shotgun sequence.